rnacentral:rRNA from 1 species
UGGGGAAUUUUGGACAAUGGGGGCAACCCUGAUCCAGCCAUCCCGCGUGUGCGAUGAAGGCCUUCGGGUUGUAAAGCACUUUUGGCAGGGAAGAAACAGCCUGGGAUAAUACCCCGGGCGACUGACGGUACCUGCAGAAUAAGCACCGGCUAACUACGUGCCAGCAGCCGCGGUAAUACGUAGGGUGCAAGCGUUAAUCGGAAUUACUGGGCGUAAAGCGUGCGCAGGCGGUUCGGAAAGAAAGGUGUGAAAUCCCAGGGCUUAACCUUGGAACUGCACUUUUAACUACCGAGCUAGAGUACGUCAGAGGGGGGUAGAAUUCCACGUGUAGCAGUGAAAUGCGUAGAGAUGUGGAGGAAUACCGAUGGCGAAGGCAGCCCCCUGGGAUGAUACUGACGCUCAUGCACGAAAGCGUGGGGAGCAAACAGGAUUAGAUACCCUGGUAGUCCACGCCCUAAACGAUGUCAACUAGCUGUUGGGGUUUAUUAACCUUAGUAGCGCAGCUAACGCGUGAAGUUGACCGCCUGGGGAGUACGGUCGCAAGAUUAAAACGUCAAAGUGAAUUGACGGGGGUCAUAGCUGUUUUCC